ACCAAACUGAAGGAAGGGCGCGGAUCUCAGCCACACUUGCUGUGUGUCUGAUUUGCGCCCAUCUGCGGAUGAUCGCUUGCCAUCGAAGACAUAUCCUGCCUCUGUGAGAUUCUUUUCAGAUAAAUGUUGUGAACCCAACAUUUUGUGGGGGCUUGUCCGGGAUUCCUGGAAAUCUGCUCGCUGAUCCGAGGAGUGUUGAAGACGCCAAAUCCGUGCACGGCAGAGGUCACAGGACCCUGAAGGAAAGCCCUGGGGAGCGAUGUUCAUCCACCAGGCCGGCGAAGUCCAGUUCAGCACCUCUCGGCGGCGACGAUUGACAGAAUCUUCAAGCGAAAUCUUUCAGAGAUUCGGUGAGACCUGUUCGUUGGCUGCGUGGUUGGAGUAUUCUAGUCCCCGGAAAAAAGGGUACCAGGGAUGACUCAGCAAAACCAGGUGACUGGGUCUUCAUCAAAGUAAUCAAGCGAAAGACGUGGUCUUCACCCCGGUGGGAGGGACCAUUCCAAGUCCUACUCGCCACACCCACAGCUGUGCAGUAAGACCCAGCUGGAUACAUCUCAGCCACUGUAAGCUGCAGAGAGUGCUUGGCUCCUAGGCCCCGGUCAGGGCGAAGUUUCCGGGUACAAAGGGGUUGUCAAUUAUAGUUUGGCAUCAGUCCCAAACCGGUGAAGAAUUAAGAACCCUGAGCAUUUAGCUCCCUAGGGGUUCAGGUGGCUCUGUGGAACUGAACGGAAAAUGGCACUCAGAGGAGUGCUUGUCUGUGCUGUGGCUGUAGCAUGCUUGCCAAUGACAUGGAGUGUCCAGGGUCCCCAAGGGGAAAGUGGAACUUCCGCUCGAAUAAAGAGAAUGACGACCGACCUGUCGACAAAGUAUAUAAAGAUAAACCCAGAUGUACCCCAUGCAGACAACAUGUGGUACCAGUAUGUAUCCAUGUUGGCCGAAACAUACAAUCAAACUGAAUGUUAUGUAUGUUCCAUAAUGCCACGAUGAAGUCAACAACCCGUCCUACAUGCCCGACCCAUGCCAGAGAAAAAUGGAUGGUGUUUCGCAAUACUAAGGGCUUUUGGGUUUAAUCCCAUCAAAGGACUCAGACGGUCGGGUAUUAAUGAGGCACAACUAGCCGCCCAACCCUGUUACAACAUCUUAAGGCCAUUCACAAUAGUGUCAAGAAGUUCUGCCGUCACACCCGCACCAGCGACUCUCGAAGUGAGUGAAACCAUCUCACAUCCCCUGUGCUUCCGACGAAGACGUGUUGAUGGAAUAAAGGUGGGAGAUACAAAACGCUGCAUCACCACCGCACUUCUAGAACAUUCCAGCGAGACCUCGAUGAAUACCACAGUAGCAAUCAGACAAAUCCUAGCAGGAUGCGAAAAUCCCCACACCAUUAUCGAAGGGGGAUGGUGGCUUUGUGGUCGCCGAGGCUACGCAGUCCUUCCAGGACAAUGGGGUGGGACAUGUGCCCCCGUAUAUGUGUCAGAUCACACUGUGUUCCUCAGUCUGACACAUUUUCAGGAACAUCAUCAGCAAAAGACACGUGCAGCUGUUGCUCCCACCUUCCGUCCCUACGACAGCGUCUGGGGCUCAGACGUACCAGAUGAAUACAAGCUUUGAAGCACAGGACAAAAGGUGGCACUCACACUCUUCCCACAGGCGGGUCUGGCUAAGACUAUUCUCCGAAUGGAAACUAUGGACUACAGGUUGAAGACCUUUGCCAAUUUUACUCUAGAGGCCCUUACAGGUAAAGCGAAAUGUACUUUCAGCAGUUUGCAAACACAUUUGAUUAAGGCUGCGUUGGACACAUAUAAUCAUAUCAAUAUAAUUUCUAGUAGUAGUGUGGUCGCUUAAUAAGUGGAAAGGAAUGUGCAGACUACAUGAAUUUGUUUUCUUCAAAGUAUUGUGGAACAGGAUGUCCAGAAAGGGAGGAUAUCUCAAGGCCGAUGGGGAACGCGAAAAACAACUCGUCUUUGUGGUCCAGACACCUGUGCUGAGCAGGGGAAAACCCAAACGAGGAGGAGAUGACCAUCAACCAUUGACCAAUCACCACACAAUAUUUUGCAUGCUUGAAUAUUCAUAUUGUGUUUCUUUAAAACUGGGCAACCCGGAAGAAUGUGUUGUCUCUGAUGGUCACGAAAGCACAUGAGUAUUUUUUGGUGUUAAGGACCCGGGACCCAGGCGCCUGUAUUAGCUUGCUUUGUCAGGAUUAAACAAUUGGCAAAUUCGGCUUAA